rnacentral:rRNA from 1 species
GAUGAACGCUGGCGGCGUGCUUAACACAUGCAAGUCGAACGGAAAGGCCCAAGCUUGCUUGGGUACUCGAGUGGCGAACGGGUGAGUAACACGUGGGUGAUCUGCCCUGCACUUCGGGAUAAGCCUGGGAAACUGGGUCUAAUACUGGAUAGGACCACUUCUUGGAUGUUGUGAUGGAAAGUUUUUUCGGUGUGGGAUGAGCUCGCGGCCUAUCAGCUUGUUGGUGGGGUAAUGGCCUACCAAGGCGUCGACGGGUAGCCGGCCUGAGAGGGUGUACGGCCACAUUGGGACUGAGAUACGGCCCAGACUCCUACGGGAGGCAGCAGUGGGGAAUAUUGCACAAUGGGCGCAAGCCUGAUGCAGCGACGCCGCGUGGGGGAUGACGGCCUUCGGGUUGUAAACUCCUUUCGCUAGGGACGAAGCGUUUUGUGACGGUACCUGGAGAAGAAGCACCGGCUAACUACGUG